rnacentral:lncRNA from 1 species
UCUCAGGUGGCCUUGGACUUCCAAAUUUCCAGUUUUAUUUUUGGUCCUCAACCCUUCGUUCUCUUCAUACCUGGUUAGAUCCAGAGGCUCAGGUAGCCUGGCGUUCAUUAGAGGAACAUCUAGUAAUACCACAUAGGCUUCAGGAUGUUAUUUACUCAAACAUCCCUCUCAAAAUGUGUAAAUCCAAAUUUGGCUCUUUAAUCUCACAUCUUGUUGCCAUAUGGAGAACUGUGGAAUCACACUCUAGCAAUCACUUUAAAUUCCAUCCUCACCUUCCUUUAUUUAAUAAUUUCGCCCUUUGCUUGGGUGGUCACCCGAUGUCCUUCCCUCAGUGGAGGGAUAAAGGGAUUAGUACCCUUUCCGACAUUAUGUCAGAUAAUGCGCUCAGAUCUUUUCAGGACUUGAAAUCGCAUUACAAUUUACCCGGCACCUCCUUUUUCUUCUACCUACAACUCCGCAGCGCCUUACGGGCAUACGGAGUCCCCUGGGGUGAAAACAUGGUGCCUCAUCCAAUUCAUAAAAUAUGUGGCAGUUCAUCUACCAAAGGCUUGGUCUCUGCUCUAUACACAUUUAGGUCCAAACAUGCAGAAAAACCUUUGCAAGUGGAUAGUCGCUGGAGCCAUGAUCUCUCAAUUGCACCUUCUUCAAUCAAUUGGUCCAUAGUCUGGUCAAAGCUUGACCUAUCUUCGCGUAAUCCCAACCAUCAGAUGAUUCACUACAAUUUCAUACACAGACUCUACUGCACUCCUCAUAAAUUAUUCUUGAUGAAAUUAAAUCCAUCUCCUAACUGCCAGCUAUGCUCUCUAGGUACUAUAGGUACCUUUGUUCACAUGGUUUGGGAGUGCCCUGGGGUGAGCGACUUUUGGAGUAUGGUAUCCAAUAGGAUGUCUAUAGUACUUGGGCGUACCAUCCCCUGCUCCCCAACUAUCUUAUUGCUGAGUGAUUUUACGGGUCUAGAUCUUUCUCUGAUGCACCAACGCUGGUUUUUGGUAGGCCUUACUGCUGCUAAAAAGCUUGUAGCACCGAGAUGGAAAGCUCCUCAUGACCUGUCCUACCAACAUUGGGUGAACACAGUCAUAGAUCUGGCUAAAUUAGAGAGAUCUGUGGCCAGCAUGCAUGGCGCCCAAGCUAGAAAUAUUAACUUAUGGUCCACCUUUAUUAACAGUAUGUUGGGAGGGUAGUCAUGGCUUACUGUAUCUACGCCUUACUCACUGCUUUUUCAUCCUUUUCCUUUUCUUUUUGUUUCUUUAUCUAUUUCACAUGUUAGUAUUAGGCCUAUUGAACAAAUUUGCUGAGUUUCGCAAAUUAUUGAUUCUGUCUUUGUGGGAGGCAUGUCUUUAUGGGCCC